GCAAAGUCACAUGCCCUUUGGAUCUUACCUUACAAUUUGAAGGACCAUCUCAGCUUUCCUCGUCAAGCCAAAGCUUUCUGCAUUUUCUUAGUUCUGUUCUGUGUCAUCUGCCUGUCAAGAAGGCAGUUGCUUGUUUGAUUGUUAAUUGCCCUUGUUUUUUAUUAUAGAACACAUUUGAAUUUUGCACAUCAGCCAGGCUUUAAAGAUGAUGUUGGAAGCAUAUCUGUAUUUUUUACCACAGCCCUCCUGCUCAAAGAAGAUUGUGUUGCGAAUACAUGUUGUAAUUGAAAUGAGACACAAAGGCAACAGAGAAAAACCCAGACACAACACCCAAGGAGUGGUGCCGGGAUGCAUUUUUCUAGCACACAGUCUGUGGGCCAAAUCCAGCCUGCUGCCGACUGACCAGGAAUGACUUUUACAGACGAAGAUUUACCAUUGGCUUGAAGCUGGAGAGCACUAAGUUUGAAUCUUGAUUAAGUGAAGGGUUAUCUACGCCCCCAAAGAAAAUUUCAUUCUUCUUCAUAGAAGACUUACAUUACAAAAGCUGUACACGAUGAUUAUUUUUAUUAUCGUAAUUCCGA